rnacentral:rRNA from 1 species
CGCUGGCGGCGUGCUUAACACAUGCAAGUCGAACGGAAAGGCCCUGCUUUUGUGGGGUGCUCGAGUGGCGAACGGGUGAGUAACACGUGAGUAACCUGCCCUUGACUUUGGGAUAACUUCAGGAAACUGGGGCUAAUACCGGAUAGGAGCUCCUGCUGCAUGGUGGGGGUUGGAAAGUUUCGGCGGUUGGGGAUGGACUCGCGGCUUAUCAGCUUGUUGGUGGGGUAGUGGCUUACCAAGGCUUUGACGGGUAGCCGGCCUGAGAGGGUGACCGGCCACAUUGGGACUGAGAUACGGCCCAGACUCCUACGGGAGGCAGCAGUGGGGAAUAUUGCACAAUGGGCGGAAGCCUGAUGCAGCAACGCCGCGUGCGGGAUGACGGCCUUCGGGUUGUAAACCGCUUUCGCCUGUGACGAAGCGUGAGUGACGGUAAUGGGUAAAGAAGCACCGGCUAACUACGUGCCAGCAGCCGCGGUGAUACGUAGGGUGCGAGCGUUGUCCGGAUUUAUUGGGCGUAAAGGGCUCGUAGGUGGUUGAUCGCGUCGGAAGUGUAAUCUUGGGGCUUAACCCUGAGCGUGCUUUCGAUACGGGUUGACUUGAGGAAGGUAGGGGAGAAUGGAAUUCCUGAUGGAGCGGUGGAAUGCGCAGAUAUCAGGAGGAACACCAGUGGCGAAGGCGGUUCUCUGGGCCUUUCCUGACGCUGAGGAGCGAAAGCGUGGGGAGCGAACAGGCUUAGAUACCCUGGUAGUCCACGCUGUAAACGGUGGGUACUAGGUGUGGGGUCCAUUCCACGGGUUCCGUGCCGUAGCUAACGCUUUAAGUACCCCGCCUGGGGAGUACGGCCGCAAGGCUAAAACUCAAAGGAAUUGACGGGGCCCCGCACAAGCGGCGGAGCAUGCGGAUUAAUUCGAUGCAACGCGUAGAACCUUACCUGGGUUUGACAUGGAUCGGGAGUGCUCAGAGAUGGGUGUGCCUCUUUUGGGGUCGGUUCACAGGUGGUGCAUGGCUGUCGUCAGCUCGUGUCGUGAGAUGUUGGGUUAAGUCCCGCAACGAGCGCAACCCUUGUUCACUGUUGCCAGCACGUUAUGGUGGGGACUCAGUGGAGACCGCCGGGGUCAACUCGGAGGAAGGUGGGGAUGACGUCAAGUCAUCAUGCCCCUUAUGUCCAGGGCUUCACGCAUGCUACAAUGGCUGGUACAGAGAGUGGCGAGCCUGUGAGGGUGAGCGAAUCUCGGAAAGCCGGUCUCAGUUCGGAUUGGGGUCUGCAACUCGACCUCAUGAAGUCGGAGUCGCUAGUAAUCGCAGAUCAGCAACGCUGCGGUGAAUACGUUCCCGGGGCUUGUACACACCGCCCGUCAAGUCAUGAAAGUUGGUAACACCCGAAGCCGGUGGCCUAACCGUUGUGGGGGAGCCGUCGAAGGUGGGACUGGU